rnacentral:rRNA from 1 species
AUUGAACGCUGGCGGCAGGCCUAACACAUGCAAGUCGAACGGCAGCGGGGGAUAGCUUGCUAUCCUGCCGGCGAGUGGCGGACGGGUGAGUAAUGCAUGGGGAGCUGCCCAGUCGAGGGGGAUAACAACUGGAAACGGUUGCUAAUACCGCAUACGCCCUUUGGGGGAAAGGUGGGGAGCUUCGGUCCUACCGCGAUUGGAUGCGCCCAUGUGGGAUUAGCUAGUUGGUGAGGUAACGGCUCACCAAGGCGACGGUCUCUAGCUGGUCUGAGAGGAUGACCAGCCACACUGGAACUGAGACACGGUCCAGACUCCUACGGGAGGCAGCAGUGGGGAAUAUUGCACAAUGGGGGAAACCCUGAUGCAGCCAUGCCGCGUGUGUGAAGAAGGCCUUCGGGUUGUAAAGCACUUUCAGUCAGGAGGAAGGGGUGAUGGCUAAUAUCCAUCAUCAUUGACGUUACUGACAGAAGAAGCACCGGCUAACUACGUGCCAGCAGCCGCAGUAA